UACGUAGGUGGCAAGCGUUGUCCGGAUUUACUGGGCGUAAAGGAUGCGUAGGCGGACAUUUAAGUCAGAAUGGUGAAAUACCCGAGCUUAACUUGGGUGCUGCAUUUGAAACGUGGGUGUCUAGAGUGCAGGAGAGGUAAGUGGAAUUCCUAGUGUAGCGGAUGAAAUGCGUAGAGAUUAGGAAGAACACCAGUGGCGAAAGGCGACUUCUGGACGUGUAACUGACGCUGAGGCAUGAAAGCCAGGGGAGGCAAACGGG
rnacentral:rRNA from 1 species